UACGGAGGGUGCAAGCGUUAAUCGGAAUAACUGGGCGUAAAGCGCACGCAGGCGGGCGUUUAAGUGAGAUGUGAAAGCCCCGGGCUUAACCUGGGAAUAGCAUUUGAAACUGGGAGUCUAGAGUACUGUAGGGGGGGGUAGAAUUCCAUGUGUAGCGGUGAAAUGCGUAGAGAUGUGGAGGAAUACCGGAGGCGAAGGCGGCCCCCUGGGAAUGGACUGACGCUCAUGUGCGAAAGCGUGGGGAGCAAACAGG
rnacentral:rRNA from 1 species